UUGAGAGUUUGAUCCUGGCUCAGAACGAACGCUGGCGGCAGGCCUAACA
rnacentral:rRNA from 12 species